CAGCUUUACAAAAAACAACACACAGAAGCUGAGAUGGUGUCGGUUUUAUUCAAUUCCACUGAGGCUGACUGGAGUUUGUACUGUAUGUGUAGUGGUGUGUGGGUAAAAUCACUAGGAAAGCACCCCCCACAAAAAGGCAGAUUUAAACCUGUGUUGUGAUAAUUGUGAUGUUUGCUCUAUAACAUAUAUACAUUAACCUUGAGACUGUGAUAUAUAAUCAUGGACGGAGACACAUUUAGAAAGAUCCUGUCGUACUGCAUUUUAUUAUUGUAUACAAAGAAAAACAAGACACGUGUAUAAAUGCAUUGCUUCAAAACUACUCUUAGUAGCCUCAGUAAGAAGACACUUAUCCACAGCAAAAUAUUACAACCCCUUUUUUAAAGAAACAUAGCAUUUGAAAUAAAUACGUUUGGAUGAUAACAUCUUGCUGAUUGCAUUGGGGGCAAUGCACUUUCACACUAUUUACACUUUAAAUCUGACUAAAUAAUCAUCACCGUCUCACAGACCCUCAGUGCUCACAGAAACUGUUGCCCUUUACAUUCAAACCUCAUCCCUUCAUCGUCACAUUCUAUUUUUAAAUGUGCUUUUGUCAAGGAACCAAAAGUGAAAACUACACAUUUUUCCCAUUACCAGAAUAUACAGUGUACUGUAUACUAUAUAAAGACAGGACAAUGUACCAGAUAUAACUUGGUGUCAAACAGAAGACAUGCAAGCACUCAAUAAAGUGAAGAAUAUGAAUGUGACCAACAUGUCCCUCUUGAAGGUGACAUAAAGUAGACUAUACAGGUUACAUAAAGUAGACUAUACAGGUUACAUAAAGUAGACGAUACAGGUUACAUAAAGUAGACUAUAGAGGUCACAUAAAGUAGACUAUAGAGGUCACAUAAAGUAGACUAUACAGGUUACAUAAAGUAGACUAUACAGGUUACAUAAAGUAGACGAUACAGGUUACAUAAAGUAGACUAUAGAGGUCACAUAAAGUAGACUAUAGAGGUCACAUAAAGUAGACUAUACAGGUUACAUAGAGUAGACUAUACAGGUUACAUAAAGUAGACGAUACAGGUCACAUAAAGUAGACUAUACAGGUUACAUAAAGUAGACUAUACAGGUUACAUAAAGUAGACUAUACAGGUUACAUAAAGUAGACUAUACAGGCUACAUAGAGUAGACUAGACAGGUUACAUAAAGUAGACUAUACAGGUUACAUAAAGUAGACUACACAGGCUACAUAAAGUAGACUGUACAGGUUACAUAAAGUAGACGGUACAGGUUACAUAGAUUAGAUUAUACAGGUUACAUAAAGUAGACUAUACAGGUUACAUAAAGUAGACUAUACAGGUUACAUAAAGUAGACUAUACAGGUUACAUAGAGUAGACUAUACAGGUUACAUAAAGUAGACUAUACAGGUUACAUAAAGUAGACUAUACAGGUUACAUAGAGUAGACUAUACAGGUUACAUAAAGUAGACUAUACAGGUUACAUAAAGUAGACUAUACAGGUUACAUAGAGUAGACUAUACAGGUUACAUAAAGUAGACUAUACAGUUUACAUAAAGUAGACUAUACAGGUUACAUAAAGUAGACUAUACAGGUUACAUAGAGUAGACUAUACAGGUUACAUAAAGUAGACUAUACAGGUUACAUAGAGUAGACUAUACAGGUUACAUAAAGUAGACUAUACAGGUUACAUAAAGUAGACUAUACAGGUUACAUAGAGUAGACUAUACAGGUUACAUAAAGUAGACUAUACAGGUUACAUAAAGUAGACUAUACAGGUUACAUAAAGUAGACUAUGCAGGUUAUUUACCAGGAUUUGGAGUGUAGAUGAGUAGAUCUGUCAGGUGUGUUAGACAGUAGAGGGGUGUCACUACAUUCCUCAGUGUUUGUUUAUACUGUAAGCUUAUGGUGUCUGUCAGGAACGCCACACCAGACACACCCUUACGUAUUCUCUUGGCAGUUAGUCACGUUGUAAAAUCUGUGUCCUUGGUAACUCAAAGCAGAAUGAGAAAAAAACAACACAGUUAUUGGCGGCUUGAAAAAAUGUAUGUGUUGCGUAAGUUGUUUUCUAUGUCAGCUGAAUGCACCUUUAAGUUCAUUGAACCAUGGUUAUGUGAGUGUGAAUUUACGUUGUACGUAAAUUCCCCAUAUUAAUUCCCCUCCCCAUAUUUAAGUCAUUUAAUGGACAACAACACUUAGGCUUCUACUUACAACACUUAGGUUCCAGCUUAUACAUACUAUAUACAUACACAGUAUAUUUGACAAUCUUGUUCUAUUUGACAUAUAUUUAUCAACUGUGCUGUGAUGUUUCACAAAAGUUCCGAACCAAAAGUCAUACACCCAAUGUUUAUUUAGGUAUAUGUGGGUCUUUUAACAACAUCGGUCAUGCAUCUUGUUGACAUUCAUCCAAGGACAUCUCAACUUCAUUACAAAUCCUCAACAACAACAAAAAAUCCCGUGACUUGUACUUAGAGAGACCAUUCCUUUAAACGCAUCCUGAUACAAACAGGAAACAAGUUGUGGACGAACCAGAAACAUUUUACGAAGUGCAUCACCUUCCUCACUUUCCCCUCCUCUCAUCUCUCCCAUCCUUGUUAUUGUCUCACAAAUCCCUCCUGUCUCUCUUAUCACCCCUCUUGUGUCUCUAUGACCCCACUUGUCUCUCUAUCACCCCUUCUGGCUCCCCUAUCUCCCCUGCUCUCCCUCAUAUCACCCCUCAUGUACAUCCUAUCUCCUCUCCUGUCCCUCCUAUCACCCUUCCUCUCCCUCCUAUCACCAAUACUGUCUCUCCUAUCACCCCUCCUGUCCCUUCUAUCACCCUUCCUGUCCCUCCUAUCAAUCGUCCUAUCACCCCUCCUGUCC
ensembl:lncRNA